AACGAACGCUGGCGGCAGGCCUAAAACAUGCAAGUCGAACGCUGUAGCAAUACAGAGUGGCGCACGGGUGAGUAACACGUGGGAAUGUGCCUUUUGGUACGGAACAACUUUUGGAAACGAAAGCUAAUACCGUAUGGUCCCUCCGGGGUAAAGAUUUAUCACCAAAAGAGCAGCCCGCGUCUGAUUAGCUAGUUGGUGAGGUAAUGGCUCACCAAGGCGACGAUCAGUAGCUGGUCUGAGAGGACGAUCAGCCACACUGGGACUGAGACACGGCCCAGACUCCUACGGGAGGCAGCAGUUAGGAAUAUUGGACAAUGGGCGCAAGCCUGAUCCAGCCAUGCCGCGUGAGUGAUGAAGGCCUUCGGGUUGUAAAGCUCUUUAGCCGACGAAUAUAAUGACUGUAGUCGGAGAAUAAGCCCCGGCUAACUUCGUGCCAGCAGCCGCAGUAAUAC
rnacentral:rRNA from 1 species